UUGGUUAAAGCCAAAAAGAGGCUUAUCACUGUUAAUGAUAGAAAUGAAGAUAGUCUUCUAACCAAG
rnacentral:tRNA from 1 species